AGGUUCGCCAGGAGACCUGAGGCACGACCUUCGCCACGCAAGGAGGCUGGGGCCCGGGUCGAGAGUCGACUGGGCCUCCGCUGGGACCCAGGCGUGCGACCGGCUCUGCCUCCUCCGAGUGUCUCACUGUUGCCAGGCUGGAGUGCAAUGGCGUGAUCACGGCUCACUGCAGCCUCCACCUCCCAGGUUCAUGCAAUUCUCCUGCCUCAGCCUCCCAAGCAACUGGGACUACCCGCACAUGCUACCACGCCCAGCUAGUUUUUGUAUUUUUAGUAGACGGGGUUUCACCAUAUUGGCCAGGAUGGUCUCAAUCUCCUGACCUCAUGAUCUGCACACCUCAGCCUCCCAAAGUGCUGGGAUUACGGGUGUUGAGCCACCACGCCCGGCCACAUUUAUCACUUUCUAUCACUGUCUGCUUCCUGUCUGUUUUCCCUACCUGACCUUGUAUUCUGUGAAAGCAGGGACCACUGGGUUUCAGGUAUUUUUGUAAUCCAGUGUCUAGUAAUGAGCUUGGCACUUGGUAGACAUUCAAUGUUUUUGAAUAAAUGAAUGAGGAGCACCCUCAGUCCCUGAAAACCCUU
rnacentral:lncRNA from 1 species